rnacentral:rRNA from 1 species
CCUACGGGUGGCAGCAGUGAGGAAUAUUGGUCAAUGGCCGAGAGGCUGAACCAGCCAAGUCGCGUGAGGGAAGACGGCCCUACGGGUUGUAAACCUCUUUUGUCGGGGAGCAAAGCGAACCACGUGUGGUUCAUUGAGAGUACCCGAAGAAAAAGCAUCGGCUAACUCCGUGCCAGCAGCCGCGGUAAUACGGAGGAUGCGAGCGUUAUCCGGAUUUAUUGGGUUUAAAGGGUGCGCAGGGGGAGGGGCAAGUCAGCGGUCAAAUUUCGGGGCGCAACCCCGUACUUCCGUUGAAACGGCAUGCCUUGAGUGCACGAGAGGUGUGCGGAAUGCGUGGUGUAGCGGUGAAAUGCAUAGAUAUCACGCAGAACUCCGAUUGCGAAGGCAGCAUACCGGCGCGCAACUGACGCUGAUGCACGAAAGCGUGGGUAUCGAACAGGAUUAGAUACCCUGGUAGUC